AUGAUGAACCCAGCCGUUAGCAGGAAGGCGGCACAACAACGUCAGCGGCGCACCUACAGAGUGAGAAGAGAUAUUUUCGCUGAGUACGACGAUGCUGAGUUACUGAAAAGAUUCAGAUUGGACCGUGCUGGUAUUGUUGCAGUGACUGAUAUAGUGAGAGACAAGCUGCAAAGUAAAACUGAAAGAAAUAGAGCCUUGACCCCUGAGAUGGUGGCCAUCACAUUACGAUAUUUAGCCACAGGAAAAAUGCAACAGUGCAGUUGUGAUGAUUUUGGAACAACGCAGCCCACUAUCAGCCGUGCAAUAUCACAGACAAUUGAUGCACUGGCUGACCCAGAAGUAAUCUGCCAGUUCGUGGCUUUCCCUCACACCCAGCGUGAAGUGCAGCAAAAACAGGCAGAGUUCAUGCAAGUAACUCAGUUUCCCGGUGUUGUGGGAGUGAUUGAUGGCACUCAUAUAAGAAUUGUGUCUCCUCAUGUCGAUGAACAUGUAUAUGUGAACAGGAAACGCUAUCACAGCAUAAAUGUGCAAGUAGUAUUUGAUGCUCACUAUAAGAUUCUUGACAUUGUGGCAAGGUGGCCUGGCUCAGUCAACGAUGCAAGAAUACUAGAUAAGUCAGCACUCAAACUGAUGUUUGAGGAACAACAUGUACCUGCAGGAUGCUACCUUCCCGGGGACAGUGGCUAUCCCUGUAAGCAGUGGCUCCUCACUCCUUACCUUCGCCCUCAAACUGUUGCACAAGCUAAUUAUAACAGUUCCAGUACCUUACGAUGCAGCCGAGGGGACUGACGCCACCACCACCACUGCCACCACCGCCACAACAAGGGUUAUUCAAAUGGGGAACAUGCUUCAGGUGUUGCCCCAAGAUGCCUCAGCCCCGCAGCCCCACUUCCCCAUGAUAGUGCAGGCAGGGAAUGUCAUACAGGUUGUUCCAGCUGACAACACGCAGGUAUUAGGGGCAGAAGUCGUUGGAGUUGGUCGGGUCAUGCAAGUGGUCGGAGUCCCAGGCUUUCCCCCGACCCCAGCCCCAGACCCCUGCCCCAGCCACCCCUCUCCCUGUGACCCCUGCCCAGUCAUCCCUCACCCCCUCCUGCCCCCCUGCGGUGCUGCCAGCGGGGGUGAUGGGAGGUGGAGGUGGGCCACACACACCUGGGUUAGCUGUGGCUUGGCUUAUCUCCCUCCUCAGCAGCAAAUCCCGAGGAUCAACGAGGACAUGGUGGACCCAGAGAUUGCAGCAGCAGCAAGAGAGAGAGAGAGAAGCAAGAGAGGAGGGAGAGGAAGGAGAGGAGGAGGAGAGAGAGGGAGGCCAGGAGGGAGGCACGUCAGAGAGAGAGGGAGAGGAAGAGGUUGAUUCUGUUACAACAACAACUGCAACAACAACAACAGUUAGUCAGUGAGGAGGGGGAGGGGCCGUCCUCUGAUGCUGAGGAUGAGGUAUUGUUCAGGGAGGCCAUGUCGGAGGUGCCGGUGGUGGGGUCGCCAGUUCCGGAGUACGAGGUGGAGGAGGAAAAGGAAGAGGAGGACGAGGAGGAGGCACGGAUAAGGAAGAAGAAAAGAUUAUUACCUGUAGCCCUCCCUCCAGCUGAUAAGGGGAUAUUAAGGAGCCCUUCCUACAGGUUCGUUCGAUGCAAGGAGUUGGCACAGGAGGCGUCCGAGGCUGUGUAGAGCGGCCGUCUGAACCUGGUGCCACAGCUUACUAUGUUCAACAGAUGCCUGAAGGAAGUGUGUGUAAGGGAGGAUAAAGAGAUCAUGCUGGCCUAUGCAGACGAUGUCGCUGUCGUGACAGGAAGCCAACAAGAUCUUCAAGAGGCCAUGACAAGAUGGAAUGAUGUUUUAAAUAGGGAAGGAAUGAGAAUGAACAAACAAAAAACUUAUUUACUAGUGGACAAGCAACAAGUGAUGGUGUGGCUCUGAGCCACUGUAGUAGGGAUGUUAUGGUUUAAGUGUAGGAAGUUGCAAAUGCUCACCUAACAAUUGCACCUUAGUAGAAAAACACAAACAGGAAGUUUAUGCAAGUUUUUAUCCUUAUAUAAAAUGUUGUAUUGCAUCAAACCUCCAUACAUUACUGUCUCUAUCCAGUAUGAGACCGGUGUUCAGGAAGCACAAGCAUGUGCUGAAUAACAAGAAGCCGGCAUUGGUGAAGGUGACAACAUUUCAUCUAUUUAUACAUACUUUUUAUUAUUAAAGCUUAUCUUAUAAUUAUUUCUGAAGAGAUUGACUAAUUUUUGUAGUAUUUAUGACUUAGAACUAUGAUAAAGCUAUGAAUUGAUAUAAUUCCUGAUUUGUUUUAUCUUUUCAUUAUCCUUCCUUUGUUAAUUGAGCAUUUUAUAUUACUUAGCUUAAAAAUGCAAGAACGGUUCAGAAGUAUCCAACCUUGGGCUAAGGGCCAAAAUUAUGGUAUCAUUCAAAAUGUCCUUCAAAGAAAGCCCUCUGUAAUCCAACACACUUAGCCCAUUAAUCCUUCCAUUUCUCAUCAAUUUGUUCAACAUUCAUAUUUUUCCCUUAUAGGGUUGAACAAUUUUCAUGGGUUCAGAGCAAAAGGCUUCCUCAUUCCUCCCCAAGGUAUUCUCGGAUGGUAAGCAGGUUUGACUCUGGAGCAAACCUGACCAAGGGCUACUGCCCAAGGCUACAGAGGUUCCUCUCCCUGAGGCUGAAUGCACCAUGUGAGAUGGUUCUGUUAUGUGGAUGAAUGUCAUGGUGGAUAGCAGUGCCACCACAUUCCUACAAUCAUCCAUCACUCCACUGCUCAAACGCUUCUGCAACCAAUGAUAGGUAUGCUGCCACAUUCUGCAUGGUCUCCUUGGCUCUCAGAUAAGGAUACUGUCAACAGGUUUGGGAUUGCCAAAAAAUCAUAAGGAGCUAUGUCUGAAAAGUCCAGAGAGAGAGAGAGAGAGAAAGAAUGAGCAAGAGAAAGAGUAGGAUGAAGCAAAGGAAGAGUCAAGAGGGAGGAAGAGAGAGUAGGACAAGAAAAAACAGAACAAAUAAAUCCCCUACACGUCUUGUCUCCAUUCACACAAGCCAUGAAAAGCUUGUCCAUCCCUGAGUGCUCAGAAGCAGUGUUCCACUGAUGAUGUGGAAACUUGAGACACCCAAUCAUUUAAUGGGCUUUAGUAGGUUUUGUCACCAGUCUUCUGUGUGUCACUGACUACAUUUUGAAAUUUUUAUCUGUUCUAUUUAAUUUUGUGUGUAUGUACACAAUGUUUAUGGUCAAUAAACUAUUUAUAAAACUAUUUAUCUGUGUGAGUAAGAUAAAAGCAGUUAUUGUUAUUAUUAUUAUUAUUAUUAUUAUUAUUAUUAUUAUUAUUAUUAUUACACAUUUUCCUCCUUGUAUUUAAAUAUUAUUAUUAUUAUUAUUAUUAUUAUUAUUAUUAUCAUGAAUUGUUCUUGUUUAUAAAUAAAAUACUGUAACUGA